rnacentral:rRNA from 1 species
GCAGUCGAACGAGAAAGCUUCCUUCGGGAAGUAAGUAGAGUGGCGCACGGGUGAGUAACGCGUAGGUAAUCUACCCUUAUAACUGGGAUAACAUUGGGAAACUGGUGCUAAUACCGGAUACACUUCUUUACUGCGGGGUAAAGGAGGAAAGGUGGCCUCUUCAUGAAAGCUACCGUAUAGGGAUGAGCCUGCGUACCAUUAGCUAGUAGGCGGGGUAACGGCCCACCUAGGCAACGAUGGUUAGCGGGUCUGAGAGGAUGAUCCGCCACACUGGAACUGGAACACGGACCAGACUCCUACGGGAGGCAGCAGUGAGGAAUAUUGCGCAAUGGGGGAAACCCUGACGCAGCGACGCCGCGUGAGUGAGGAAGGUUUUCGGAUCGUAAAGCUCUGUCAGAAGGGAAGAAGUGUUAUAUGUUUAAUACGCAUAUAAUUUGACGGUACCUUCAGAGGAAGCACCGGCUAACUCCGUGCCAGCAGCCGCGGUAAUACGGAGGGUGCAAGCGUUGUUCGGAAUUACUGGGCGUAAAGGGCGCGUAGGCGGCUGGAUAAGUCAGAUGUGAAAGUCCAUGGCUCAACUGUGGAAGUGCAUUUGAAACUGUCCGGCUUGAGUAUCGGAGGGGAGUGUGGAAUUCCCGGUGUAGAGGUGAAAUUCGUAGAGAUCGGGAGGAACACCGGUGGCGAAGGCGACACUCUGGACGAAUACUGACGCUGAGGCGCGAAAGCGUGGGGAGCAAACAGGAUUAGAUACCCUGGUAGUCCACGCCGUAAACGAUGUGAACUAGGGAUAGGGGGUGUUGAUCCCCUCCUGUCCC